CCUACGGGAUGCAGCAGUGGGGAAUAUUGCACAAUGGGGGAAACCCUGAUGCAGCAACGCCGCGUGAGUGAUGACGGCCUUCGGGUUGUAAAGCUCUGUCUUCAGGGACGAUAAUGACGGUACCUGAGGAGGAAGCCACGGCUAACUACGUGCCAGCAGCCGCGGUAAUACGUAGGUGGCGAGCGUUGUCCGGAUUUACUGGGCGUAAAGGGAGCGUAGGCGGAUUUUUAAGUGAGAUGUGAAAUACUCGGGCUUAACCUGAGUGCUGCAUUUCAAACUGGAAGUCUAGAGUGCAGGAGAG
rnacentral:rRNA from 1 species